rnacentral:rRNA from 1 species
GGCGGCGUGCCUAAUACAUGCAAGUAGAACGCUGAAGAGAGGAGCUUGCUCUUCUUGGAUGAGUUGCGAACGGGUGAGUAACGCGUAGGUAACCUGCCUUGUAGCGGGGGAUAACUAUUGGAAACGAUAGCUAAUACCGCAUAACAAUGGAUGACACAUGUCAUUUAUUUGAAAGGGGCAAUUGCUCCACUACAAGAUGGACCUGCGUUGUAUUAGCUAGUAGGUGAGGUAACGGCUCACCUAGGCGACGAUACAUAGCCGACCUGAGAGGGUGAUCGGCCACACUGGGACUGAGACACGGCCCAGACUCCUACGGGAGGCAGCAGUAGGGAAUCUUCGGCAAUGGGGGCAACCCUGACCGAGCAACGCCGCGUGAGUGAAGAAGGUUUUCGGAUCGUAAAGCUCUGUUGUAAGUCAAGAACGAGUGUGAGAGUGGAAAGUUCACACUGUGACGGUAGCUUACCAGAAAGGGACGGCUAACUACGUGCCAGCAGCCGCGGUAAUACGUAGGUCCCGAGCGUUGUCCGGAUUUAUUGGGCGUAAAGCGAGCGCAGGCGGUUUGAUAAGUCUGAAGUUAAAGGCUGUGGCUCAACCAUAGUUCGCUUUGGAAACUGUCAAACUUGAGUGCAGAAGGGGAGAGUGGAAUUCCAUGUGUAGCGGUGAAAUGCGUAGAUAUAUGGAGGAACACCGGUGGCGAAAGCGGCUCUCUGGUCUGUAACUGACGCUGAGGCUCGAAAGCGUGGGGAGCGAACAGGAUUAGAUACCCUGGUAGUCCACGCCGUAAACGAUGAGUGCUAGGUGUUGGAUCCUUUCCGGGAUUCAGUGCCGCAGCUAACGCAUUAAGCACUCCGCCUGGGGAGUACGACCGCAAGGUUGAAACUCAAAGGAAUUGACGGGGGCCCGCACAAGCGGUGGAGCAUGUGGUUUAAUUCGAAGCAACGCGAAGAACCUUACCAGGUCUUGACAUCCCGAUGCUAUUUCUAGAGAUAGAAAGUUACUUCGGUACAUCGGUGACAGGUGGUGCAUGGUUGUCGUCAGCUCGUGUCGUGAGAUGUUGGGUUAAGUCCCGCAACGAGCGCAACCCCUAUUGUUAGUUGCCAUCAUUCAGUUGGGCACUCUAGCGAGACUGCCGGUAAUAAACCGGAGGAAGGUGGGGAUGACGUCAAAUCAUCAUGCCCCUUAUGACCUGGGCUAC